ACUCAAAGGAAUUGACGGGGGCCCGCACAAGCAGCGGAGCAUGUGGUUUAAUUCGACGCAACGCGAAGAACCUUACCUGGGCUUGACAUGUAAGUGACCGCCGUGGAAACACGGUUUUCCUUCGGGACACUUUCACAGGUGGUGCAUGGCUGUCGUCAGCUCGUGUCGUGAGAUGUUGGGUUAAGUCCCGCAACGAGCGCAACCCCCGUUCCAUGUUGCCAGCAUUAAGUUGGGGACUCAUGGGAGACUGCCGGUGACAAACCGGAGGAAGGUGGGGAUGACGUCAAGUCAUCAUGCCCCUUAUGUCCAGGGCUACAAACGUGCUACAUUGGCGCAUACAGAGGGUUGCAAUACCGCGAGGUGGAGCGAAUCCCAAAAAGUGCGUCUCGGUUCGGAUUGGAGGCUGAAACCCGCCUCCAUGAAGGUGGAGUUGCUAGUAAUCGCGGAUCAGCAACGCCGCGGUGAAUACGUUCCCGGGCCUUGCACACACCGCCCGU
rnacentral:rRNA from 1 species